AACAGGGAUUAGCUUGCUAAUUUGCUGACGAGUGGCGGACGGGUGAGUAAUGCUUGGGAAUCUGGCUUAUGGAGGGGGAUAACUACGGGAAACUGUAGCUAAUACCGCGUAAAAUCUUAGGAUUAAAGGGUGGGACUUUCGAGCCACCUGCCAUAAGAUGAGCCCAAGUGGGAUUAGGUAGUUGGUUAGGUAAAGGCUGACCAAGCCGACGAUCUCUAGCUGGUCUGAGAGGAUGACCAGCCACACUGGAACUGAGACAC
rnacentral:rRNA from 1 species